CUGUGAUUUCAGGAGAACUUUGCCAAUUAGGAUUCCCCUCCAACCGUGAGAAGUGGAAGCAGGAGCUACACUAUCUAGGAACGGGGUAGUGUGACAAUAUUUACCUAGGAGAACCUUUGCCAAGAGACAAUCGAGGUUUGUCAAAAUUCUCCAGCUGAUCUUGGCCAGGAGAGCGUCAUUAAAGCUCUGCAAGUCUCUGAAACCUAGCCCUUUUUUCCUUUUCCUCUUCCUAGCUUGUUCCACGAUACUCAACACAUUUUCUUUUUCUCCAUACUCUCAUCCCACCAAAAAUGGAUUGGAUACGCUUGUACAUAUAAUUAGGGAGCUUGAAGUGAGACAUGGAGUAGGUUGGCAUGGCCGCUAGGACAGAUUUUAGCAGUGUUUUCUUUCCAGCUGCCGAUAGAUAUCGAGAUGACCAGUUGUAUGCUCAUUGCCGGAUCCUACCCACUAUGAUGGGGAAUUUUGGCAGAAAAGGUUAUAGCUGAUUUGUCUGUGUUGAUCUUCUGACCUGAUACUAGCUCAUAUUGAUGGAGGAUUUGCAUCAAGGUUGUGCAGUUUACAGCGUCAGUCUUAUAGAAGAACAUAGUAUCAUCAGCAAAAAACCCGUCAACACUUUACUACACAGUAUAAAUAAGUAAGGGGACAGGGCAUCCCCCUGCCGUAUACCUCUCUGGGGAGUAACCAAUCCUUGGGCUGCUCCAUUUAAGAGACGAUGAGUGAAGAUAAUGAAGAACUUUAUGUGUGAUGAGCACAUUAUCUGAGAUCGCUCUUUAGGGUACAAAGGUGGAUUGGUUCUCCGCAACAAGUAUAUGCAGGAUGGGUUGUAGCCUCUUGGAUUCUAGAGGUAAAGAAGCUCUGAAUUUCUGAGAAGAUUUGAGAACCUACUGUGUGCCAAUUUUUUGGAAGAAACUUGCUGAGAAGCCAUCCGGACCAUGCGCCCUGUCAGGAUGGAUGGAGAAACAUGCUGAUUUGAUCUCGUUUGGCAAAGUGAAUGAUGGCCUUCGAGCAACCAUUGAUUUUACUUUCUACCUCCUCAUCUUCUUCUGGCUUCCAUUGGCUGCUAAUCAGUUGGGUGACUUCUUUGUUCCUUCUUAGUCUACUGACAUAUCUGAACAAGCUUUUUUUUUUUCCUUUUGUGGUGCAAGUCAAAGUAAGUCACCACUAGUCUAUGAUCCGAGCCCUCAAAGUUGAGAUAUUCAGCACGACCUGAAGGGACAAGAAGUUCCCCGCAUGUUAAAGAUCGAAAAAAGAUCACACUCUGACAUAAUGGUCCGCAUAUCAGCUCCCAAAUUGCUUUUCUUUUUGUUUUGUCAGGCUCUCCGUAUACAAAGGUGGCAAAGAAUCUCUACCUUCAGCUUUAAUGCGAGUGUCUAUGAAAUCUGAGCAAUCCUGAAUUAUGUCCACCUCCAAAUGUUGUUGCCAGAGCAGUGCAAGGCCAACCCCUCUCGGGCUAUGAGAAAAUUAUGUCCGGAUAGACUCGUUUGUGAAUCUCUCUUAGUCUGCGAACUGUAAUGGGAUUCUGCAGACUACAACAGUUCCAGCAUAGUACUCUUAAGGAAGGGGGGGGAGAUCUUGAAAAUCCCCUCUCUUCUUCACUAUAGCAGGUGGUCAGUGGAAUUAUUCUCGUCACAGGGAGGUACAUGUCUCUUAGGGGUAGUUUUUCUCUUGGGUGAGUUCUGGAUAAUCACCUUAUGUCGCAUACUUGACUUUGCAUCCAAGAGUUGUGACGGGUUCCUGCUUGUAGGUUUUGCAAUCGGAGGGCGUCCUCUGUUUUUUUUUUUGGGGCUGCCAAUGGUGAAUCAUCUCGCAGUGAAGGGUGUACUAGUAGAUCCUGGCUUAGCUCUGAUUGGUCUUCCAGAAAACUAAGCUUGUUAAGUAGGGUCAGCGUAGCUCACAUACUGGAUGGUGACAUCAGGAAACUCCCCCAUAACCUCUUCUCUGGAUGGGAUCAUAGGAAGAGGGAGUCGAGGUGUGAUUUCUGCAGUCACAUGUCUUUCCAACCGAGGGUGACAUGGUGUAAAGGUUUCUGAGAACUCCACUGGAAUUGGAAGCAGCCAUUUCCAAGAUAAGAUCCAGUGGCUUUAACUCGUAGGUUCCACCGGUUCGAGAGGAAAGGGAUGAGUGACCAGAGGUGUUGGAGAGUCGGGUUGUUGGUAGGGAAUUCUUCUGUCCAUGGUGUAGAGACAAAUUAAAAGUAUCCAAAGCUUGGAUUCUUCACACAGAGGUGAGAGUGUUCUUGCCAAAAGAGGCUGAGUUUUCUUGUCAAAGUACUGAGAGUUAAAUACUUACGACAAGAGGCAAUAAAUGCGAGUCAACAAAAACAGUUCUUCACCUAGAGGGGUGCUUUGUCUUGCUACCUUUCUUACAGUUGUCUGGGUCGAGGAGCUAGAAGGUAAGAGGGGUUUCUUUUUACUCGGUCAUCCCAGCAGGGAAGUGGCAUGAGGGGCGUCUCCAUCACCGGACUCACUAGGGAGGACGCCGACCGCCUCAAGGCAUCAUAUAUUCGUAUAAAGCCAAAAAUAAAAUAAACUUUGCUAGAAAAAAAAUCAAAAGUGGGUGAGAUCUGCUAUUUUGAACUUAGUUUACUUCUUUCAGCUAGCUCGGGAAAUGUGUCUGAGAGCAUUUUUUAGAGACGAAUAAUAGUGUUGAUUGAGAAUUCUCUGAACAAUCGAAUGAGAAGACAGAACCAGUGUUUUGUGUUCCACCAUCUGUAUAUAUAUGGCCACUAACUUCGUGAUGA